AACGAACGCUGGCGGCAUGCCUAACACAUGCAAGUCGAACGAGAUCUUCGGGUCUAGUGGCGCACGGGUGCGUAACGCGUGGGAAUCUGCCUUUUGGUUCGGAAUAACAGUUGGAAACGACUGCUAAUACCGGAUGAUGACGAAAGUCCAAAGAUUUAUCGCCAGAGGAUGAGCUCGCGUAGGAUUAGCUAGUUGGUGUGGUAAAGGCGCACAAAGGCGACGAUCCUUAGCUGGUCUGAGAGGAUGAUCAGCCACACUGGGACUGAGACACGGCCCAGACUCCUACGGGAGGCAGCAGUGGGGAAUAUUGGACAAUGGGCGAAAACCUGAUCCAGCAAUGCCGCGUGAGUGAUGAAGGCCUUAGGGUUGUAAAGCUCUUUUACCCGGGAUGAUAAUGACAGUACCGGGAGAAUAAGCUCCGGCUAACUCCGUGCCAGCCGCCGCGGUAA
rnacentral:rRNA from 1 species